UACGUAGGGUCCGAGCGUUGUCCGGAAUUAUUGGGCGUAAAGGGCUCGUAGGUGGUCAACUAAGUCGGACGUGAAAUCCCUCGGCUUAACCGGGGAACUGCGUCCGAUACUGGAUGACUUGAGUUCGGGAGAGGGAUGCGGAAUUCCAGGUGUAGCGGUGAAAUGCGUAGAUAUCUGGAGGAACACCGGUGGCGAAGGCGGCAUCCUGGACCGACACUGACGCUGAGGAGCGAAAGCCAGGGGAGCAAACGGG
rnacentral:rRNA from 1 species